GUUCUCAAAUUUAAUGUAGUUGAAAUUAUUACUCUUUUAUGUUAUGGUUUGUGAUUGUAUGUCUUUGUGAAGACAUUCUUCCAUACCCCAAGAUAUUCACUUCUGUUUUCUUCUGUUAAGCUGUUGCGCCCACAGGAUACUGCCACUGUUCAGGGACCCGCGCCCCAUGGUAGGGAAGGCAGACUCCGAGCACAUCAUGCCACCAGGAAGACCACCAUUUUCAUUCCACCCAUGGAUGAUGAGGCUAAAAACCCACCAAGACAGAUUACAUCCUGAUUCUAUGCCAAGUCAGAACCCUUUCAUGUACUACGACAGAACCGGCAAAAAUGAUGAUGAUGAUGAUGGUGAUGAUGAUGAUAAUAAUAAUAACAGCAACAAAGGGAAUAGGCACCCAUGUAUCCAGGGCAAGUCACCCAGGGGUUGAAACCCAAUUUCUUUGAGAAUACAUCAAGGACAGGGCAGGUGCCCAGGAAAACCAAAGGAACCGUCUCCUGACCCAGCAGUCUUGCAGGGACAGUGCCUGUGGAUGGCUUUGGCCAACUGGACGGUCAGAGCCACCAGGAGAACCAGAAGCAGUAUGGAGCCCAGCGUGAUGACAAAAGGCACAUACCAUGCCGAUGGAGAAUACACAUUUUCCCUCCGGAUCUGAGCUAAUUUGGAGAGAAGAUUAUCAAGAGUAGGAUUCUACAUGGGUUUUCCUGGACUGUCUAGGAUAUUUAAAAUGUGAUUUUACCAGCCAAUAUGGAAUGGAAUGCUGUCUGCAAAUGCCAUCCAUGCAUCAGGGUUCUCCAAAGUGCAGGAGGCCACAGCGUGCAUUUAACAGCACUGCACCAAGGGGAGAAAGCUGACAAGGAAGCGUGGAGAGAGCACAGCCCUCCCCAGUCAGAGGAGCCAGUGCAAGGAGCAGUCCCUGAAACUGGAAUCCAGGGAUGGACAGUGCUGUGUGCUGAGGGCUGCCUUAUAGGAACUGAGACCUGCAGGAGGUGGAGGGACUCAUCCAGCUGAUGGGGAGGGAGCCAGGGGAAUAAAUACUCUGAUUUCAUGCUCCCUCUCUUCCUACUGGCCAACCAGAAGCUGCAGGGCAAGGGAGCCAGUUGAUAUCUACAUAAGUCAGCCUCCUGGGACACAGAGCAGGGAGGAAGGCUGGAAGCUGGGUCUGAGGGGGCAAUGGAAUGUAUCUAGAACAAGGUUUACAGUUUGAUAUCAGGCUCAAAGCCACACUUAAUCUUAGCAUUAUGCUGGGCAUGCCAAUUGGGAGAACAGGGAGACAUUUACCAACAUAAUAAAGGAAUUCAUAUUUCUAUUGCUUGCCCUAGACCAGUGGUUUUCAGCCUUCCUAAUGAUGUGACCCUUUAAUACAGUUCCUCAUGUUGUGG